rnacentral:rRNA from 1 species
UACAGAGGGUGCGAGCGUUAAUCGGAAUUACUGGGCGUAAAGGGUGCGUAGGUGGUUGUGUAAGUUAGGUGUGAAAGUCCUGGGCUUAACCUGGGGAUUGCGCCUGAUACUGUAUAGCUAGAGUAUUGUAGAGGAAAGUGGAAUUUCCGGUGUAGCGGUGAAAUGCGUAGAUAUCGGAAGGAACAUCGGUGGCGAAGGCGACUUUCUGGACAAAUACUGACACUGAGGCACGAAAGCAUGGGGAGCAAACAGG